GGAAACCUAAAAACUACCGUUAGAUUUAAAAUUGGACACCUAAAAUUUGUCCACGUCAUCAAAAGAGAAAAUUUUACUCGCAGAUUUAAUCAUGAGCAAAAAAUUUACUCUUGAUGACGUGGACAAGUUUUAGACGCCUAUUUUUUAAUCCAAACGGUAGUUUUCAGAUUUCU
rnacentral:pre_miRNA from 1 species